UGGGUUGUAAACUACUUUUAUACAGGAAGAAACGUACCCUCGUGAGGGUGCCUGACGGUACUGUAGGAAUAAGCACCGGCUAACUCCGUGCCAGCAGCCGCGGUAAUACGGAGGGGUGCGAGCGUUAUCCGGAUUUAUUGGGUUUAAAGGGUCCGUAGGCGGAUUAAUAAGUCAGUGGUGAAAUCCCAUCGCUUAACGAUGGAACUGCCAUUGAUACUGUUAGUCUUGAAUGAGGGUGCAGUGGUUGGAAUGUGUAGUGUAGCGGUGAAAUGCAUAGAUAUUACACAGAACACCGAUUGCGAAGGCAGAUCACUAACCCUAAAUUGACGCUGAGGGACGAAAGCGUGGGGAGCGAACAGGAUUAGAUACCCUGGUAG
rnacentral:rRNA from 1 species